UCAUCGGUUCCCGUUCGACCACCGAAGUUAAACAACGUCAAGCCUGAUCAGUACCUAGGUGGGUAACCGCUUGGGAAUAUGAUGUGUUGCAAG